GCUGAGAAUGCGUGUCUCCACCACGCCUCGGAUUCUAAUUGACUUUGAGUGGAGACUGCAUGCGUGGUGACAGCACGCAUUUUCAGCACUUUGCGUGAAAUAAGCACGCAAUCUGGGACCCUCUGGUUCUAACAAUGCGUGCUCAUUUCACGCAUUUCUGUGAGAUCAGGUUGUUCAGAGUUAUUCACCGCGGAAGUUGGUAGUGGCCGCUAAUGGCUAAAUCCAUUAACUGCAGGGAGGGAUGCACUCUCACAGAGAUGUCAGGGACCCCCCAGGGACACACACAGCCAACCCCCAUCUCCCUAGUCUUACCCGUUUAGGAGCUAUUCAAGCUGGAAGUUGGGAUUAGCAGCUAACGGCUAAUCACAGCUCACGCCCACUUUGUGCAGCAUUUCUACAAGGUGGGCGGGGCUGCCUCAUGCCCGCGGGUGUGUAAGGUCACCACAGACCAGGUGUGAAGGUUUGAGCCGGCUAGCUAUCACUGUUUGGGAACUAUUAAUAGAAACAGCUAAAUUAGCUCCUUUUUUAGCCACAAAAUGCUAGCAUUUGCCUUAUUUGCAUAUUUCUACAUGUCCUGGAGGGCUGAAAAUGGCACCAUAGGUGUGUGAUGGGACAACAAGGAAGCCCUGCAGGUUUCAGCCCCCCACCUAUCACCGUUUUUUUUUUAGAAAAUAAAAACGUGAAAAUGCAAAAUAUCGAAAUUAGCUUUUUUCGGGUACUUCCCUUUGAGCUACAGAUACCACAGCCGGCACACACGAGCUGGGUGUGGAGACGGGGAUUUCAUGCUGGUUUGAGCUCGUUUGGCGGAGUAUUUCAAAAACGGUGCAAAAAAUAUGCUCCGUUAAGGCAUUUUUGAAAUCUGCUCCUUCCAGCUCCCUGGAAGGGUUCUGGUGGGGCUGGAGGGCUGAGACUGCACACAGGGGAUGGGGCAGCAUUCCCGAGGCAUAAUCUAAGUUUCGUGUCUCUAGCUCAAAGCGUUGAGGGAGUUCUAGCCCCAUUGACCUUUGACCUUUGGGGUUAGGAGCGUCCCAGACGGCUGAUAUUUCACACAGUGGCAGCCCUCAGUCAGGAUCUAGAUUUUCAGCUCCCUAGCUCAAAGUGUUGAGGCAUUCUCCUGUCUAUCAGGCUGCAAUCUGGACCUCUCACUGUGCAUGUGGAAAGAUAGAUAUUCAAGUAAGAAUGGACUGAAUCAUUUGCUUUCAUUACCAAUGCGGAAGGAUUGCCUGCAUGUUUGCUUUGUAACAAGAAGUUAAAAAGACAUUUUCAGGGAAGGCAUGCUAAAUUAACCCAGUUCGCAGUGAGAGAAAAAGUGCUUCUGAAGAAAUUAGAGGAGCGCAAAGAUCGAUUCAAGAAGUGGAUUGCAACUCCAAACUCCACUACUGCUGCAAGUUUUGUUGCAACCCGAGAGAUAAUAACGCGAGGAAAACUACCUCUCUCCGCAAGGACGGUGAGAGAAAAUGCAGGCGCAAAUACCGCCCGCCUCAGAGGAGAGCUGCAGUCCUGUGUGAAGAUUGAAGUUUUUUACAUGCCCGAUGUUGAGAAGCUGUCCAGUGAUGUCCAAAAACAGAAGUCACAUUAAACAGGUCCGAGGAUUGCUGCGCUUGUGUUGUGCUGUCUGUUGCUGUCUGGGCUGGUAUUUCACAAGGGGGAUGGGGCGGCAUUCCCGAGACAUAAUCUGAAGUUUCGUGUCUCUAGCUCAAUGCGUUGUUUUCAUCCUCUGGGGGAAUCCCCCUGAUUAGGGUUACCUCACCUCACCUCUGUGUUUUCCAACCUCACAGAAAUGCGUGAAAUGAGCACGCAUUGUUAAAACCAGAGGGUCCCAGACUGUGUGCUCCUGUCACGCAAUGUGCUGAAAUUGCGUGUGGUCACCACGCAAACAGUCUCCACUGAAAGUCAAUUGGAAUCCACGGCGUGGUCUGGACACGCAUUCUCAGCUUCAACGACGUCACUCUGUGGGUGUUGUUUCAGAGAUCCCGGAAGUGCAAAUGUAGACUGAUCGAUAUUCUGAAGAAAGAUGUGAUUAUUAUCCAAACCAGUGCAGCCAUCUGAGGCAGACUGUGUAGCAGUGGUCUGAGCUUCUGCUGAGUCAAAAAGCCCCGUGAAAUAUCAACUCUAUUUUAAGAAAACACGUUUUAUUGUCAACGUCUUAUCAUGGAGAAGCACUACAAUACCCAUAAUCCUCAUGUCUGAUUGGUCCAGCUCGCUGUUACCAGCAAAAAAAAAGAAAAAGAGCUUUUAUCAUAUUCCCUUGGUCCUUUUUGUUUUCAACAUUGAAUUUUCACUUUCUAAUUCAAUGAGUGAAAUGUUCUUUUUUUUAAUCUGAAAAACACUGGCGUUUCCCGUAGGUAACACUGUCGGCUUACCCACAUGGGGUGGUGACAGAAACAGAGCGACACAUUUAUUUCCCGGUCCUGGUCAUUAUAUGUUCUGAAUUACACAUAUGAUGUUUGUGGAAUUAAAUGAUAAUUUGUCGUGUUGAAAGUUUGAUGGUUUGUUGCUCCGAUUGUUUCCCUGUAUUCGCUCGUGCUUGGUGGAAGACCGUCAGAGCAUGACGUCACAUAUGACACUUGAAAUUAGUUUGGCUUUUCACACAGUCAAACUAACAGAGUUAAGGGAGACGUAUCUAAAUUGUAAUUUACACAUUGCUUUUCUACCAAUAAAUGUACAUUUUAUUUUCAUAUUUUCCACUCGGUUUAUGGAUGUGAUCUGUCGUUUUUUUGUUUCAAAGCGCAAUCUGUCUAUUUUGCCAGCUGAACUGCUGCCAGGUUAGUUGUUAGGCUGUCACGAAGGACUCUGACCGCCGAACCGGAAGGAAGUUGAUGUGCGUCACGGACUGCAUUUUUUUUAAGAAUGGCAUUUUGCUCUUUAACUAAUGAUUGCCCACAAAUACGACGGCCUGUGUCCUUUUGUUUAGCUUGUUUAUGUCUGCUGAGGGGCGGAAUGCUUUCCGUCUGAUUUCCCCACCCACUGAGAACAGUAUCCAUGGAGACAAACAAGGCCGGUGGAGACACAGCUUAACCGAGUCGAGUGCAGCGGGGUAGAGUCCAGUCCAGUAGAGUGGGGUAGCUGGAAACACGCCAUAUGUCAGUAAUAUAAUUUGAGGGAACCAAAACAUUAAAGAUGCACACUGACUGACAGCAAUAAAGCCUCAAAACUCAAGAAACUCAAUCUAGAUGCAGCAUAUAGAAUUAGAUCAUUUUAUACCUAAAUGUGAAGAACUUAUUAGCUGUGGUUGAGGUGAAAAAAAAAAAAAAAAAAAAAA